CCGUGCGUACAGACGACGCUGGCGGCGUGCCUAUACAUGCAAGUCGAGCGAGUUUUCUGGUGCUGCACUAGAAAAACUUAGCGGCGAACGGGUGAGUAACACGUAAAGAACCUAGCCUCAUAGACUGGGACAACUAUUGGAACGAUAGCUAAUACCGGAUAACAGCAUUAACUGCAUGGUUGAUGUUUAAAAGUGGUUUUGCUAACACUAUGAGAUGGCUUUGCGGUGCAUUAGCUAGUUGUGGGGUAAAGGCCUACCAAGGCGACGAUGCAUAGCCGACCUGAGAGGGUGAUCGGCCACACUGGGACUGAGACACGGCCCAGACUCCUACGGGAGGCAGCAGUAGGGAAUCUUCCGCAAUGGGCGAAAGCCUGACGGAGCAACACCGCGUGAGUGAAGAAGGAUUUCGGUUCGUAAAGCUCUGUUGUUAGGGAAGAAUGAUUGUGUAGUAACUAUACACAGUAGAGACGGUACCUAACCAGAAAGCCACGGCUAACUACGUG
rnacentral:rRNA from 1 species